GGUGAAAAACAAAAAUGAACAUUCCUAGCCUCUCCGAAAACAAAGAACAAGUCGUGACACAUCCACCACCAGAGAGUUCCCAGUUGGAAUCAAGGAGCCUGCUGGACCUGACCUGACCUGACCUGACCUGACUCACACAGACAAACAAGACUCUGCUCCCCUCUGAAGAACAUUUUGAGUUGUACUUCUGUGAAAAGUGGAUUUUGUGAAACCUAAAUUGCUAGGCGAGCUUCCAAGAAGAGAAGUGUAUUAAAGUUAUUUAAAUUGUGUGUGAGCAGGUAGGAAUUUUGAGCACCUUCAAUGGGAGCAGUGUGUAUGAACCCUGGAGAACAGUCACACAUGUUACACCAAAAAAAUUCAAUGUCUUCACCUUUGGACUUAUGUUUGAAUAAAUAAUUGUAUUAUUUUGAA